rnacentral:rRNA from 1 species
UUGGAGGGCAAGUCUGGUGCCAGCAGCCGCGGUAAUUCCAGCUCCAAUAGCGUAUAUUAAAGUUGUUGCAGUUAAAAAGCUCGUAGUUGAAUUUCGGAUUCUUCCAAUUGGUCCAUCUUUUAGAUGAGUACUGGUUGUGUGGGGUCUAUCCGCCUGGUGACACGUAAUGUCCUUUAUUGGAUGUUGCGGGUAGUCAGGACCUUUACCUUGAAAAAAUUAGAGUGUUUAAAGCAGGCUUAUGCCGGAAUACAUUAGCAUGGAAUAAUAGAAUAGGACGAAGUUGUUUUAUUUUGUUGGUUUCUAGGACAACCGUAAUGAUUAAUAGGGAUAGUUGGGGGCAUUAGUAUUCAAUUGUCAGAGGUGAAAUUCUUGGAUUUAUUGAAGACUAACUACUGCGAAAGCAUUUGCCAAGGAUGUUUUCAUUAAUCAAGAACGAAAGUUAGGGGAUCGAAGACGAUCAGAUACCGUCGUAGUCUUAACCAUAAACUAUGCCGACUAGGGAUCGGGCGAUGUUGUUUCCAUGACUCGCUCGGCACCUUAUGGGAAACCAAAG